UACGUAGGGCGCAAGCGUUAUCCGGAAUUAUUGGGCGUAAAGAGCUCGUAGGCGGUUUGUCGCGUCUGCCGUGAAAGUCCGGGGCUUAACCCCGGAUCUGCGGUGGGUACGGGCAGACUAGAGUGCAGUAGGGGAGACUGGAAUUCCUGGUGUAGCGGUGAAAUGCGCAGAUAUCGGGAGGAACACCGAUGGCGAAGGCAGGUCUCUGGGCUGUAACUGACGCUGAGACGCGAAAGCGUGGGGAGCGAACAGG
rnacentral:rRNA from 1 species